GGUGUCUUUUUUUGGUACCUGAAUGAAUACAGUUCAGUGAUGAUAUGAUCUGUUACAUAGAAAUUAGUUUAAAUUGCACUUAAAAAUAAGAAAAGGUAUGUUGAUUCUAACCUCUGCAGGUCAGCAUUGGCUUUACCUAUGUUUGUUGUUGUUGUUGUUAUUUGUUUUUCAUGCUCAACAAUCCUAAACCAUACACUCUUAUCAAGGUAGAGCAUUCACUUCAAAUCCUGAGAGUAGCUGGUGGAGAAUGGGCCUGGAAUGAGAGUGGGUAAAUGACCCAUGAAGGAAAUGACUAUCUUACGUUGUACCUAAAACCUAACUAAUAAAUAUGUAUCUGUUAUUGUUAGUACUAUGUAUACAUUUACUGUAUGCCAAGAGUAUUCAAAAUAUAUGGUUCUACUGAGGAUGGCUAAAACACACAUAGAUUGAGGGAGGGUUUCUGUCUAGUGGGCUUCAAACUGAAAAGAUGCACAGCAUUGAGAUAGACACUUUCCAGGAGAAAACCAUGACUCACAUGGGGAUGACUUCAAUGGCAUCUGGUUUCCAUCUUCUUUGUUUCUUCCCUUGGACUCCAUUCAGAGGCACUUCCUUCCAGCUGGAGCUUUUAAUGGCAUAAUCUGAAAGCAAGAUCCACAGAAGUGGGUUUACAGGAGGGACUUGAAGAAGAAAAUGCAGAUCAUCAGGGGGAGACGAUGGAAAAUUACACCCAGAUGGGAGGGAACAGAGAAUGUACACACAUCCAGACUAAAAUACACCAAUUAAAAUAUUUAGGGAAAUGCAGAGUGGUGUAUGAUUUUUAAUAUAGGGUAACAAAAAUUUGAACGGAAUAAAAAGGCAAAGUGACAUAGUCCUGAUUGCAAUUAGCACAUUAAUGCAAUUUCUGUUUCUAGCCUGGGAAAAUAUGUCAGUUCUCUUUAUUUAAAUGAAUGGAACAUGGUGCUGCUUGUAGUCUUGCUGUGACUUAUUCAUUCUACACACUAGCUCCAUUCAUGAUGGCAGUACCUUUCUUUUCCUUUCAGAACUGGAAAGGUGUGGGUGAACCUCGCCUGGUGUGCCAAAAUGACCUGGAAUUGGAGGUAAAGCCACCACCUGAGUGGGUGGGUUGGCCCUGGUUACAAUAACCAGCAGCCCAUUCGAGUCCAUACAAGAGAGACUGGAAGGGGUGGAGUGAGCCAUGGGUUUCUGUAUGAAAAUUUGCAUCCUCACAUUCUCCUCCUCCCAAACCGUCAUUAGCAAGGAGGAAAGUCUGUUUCAUCUUUUAAAAUGAGGGUCCAUUAUAUUCUGUACCUAUUCUUCCUAUAUAUGAUGUUCCUUUUAACUGGAUAUUACCGGAUUUGAGUGAUUUGCCACUGGUCUUAUUCUCUUCUCUACCCCCAAACAGCUCUUGAGAGAGGUCAUAUCACUGGAGGUAGGCGCUGAUGGCAAUGGAGGCUGAAACAAUGGUUGUGGUUCUUCUGUACAUUGCGGCAGUCAGAGCUGAUCCAAGUUGAGAAUAAGUAAAAAAAAAUUUUUUUUGAGUACUUGUCCAAGUACCUGCAGAGAUAUAUUUUAAUGAGUAGUACUUCAGUCCCCCUUUUAAGUGUUAGGGAUGCAUUCAAGACCCACAGUAGGUGCCUGAAACUAUGGGUAGUACUGAACUUUUUACAUGUUUUUUCCUGAACUUACAUACCUGUGAUAAAGUUUAGUUUAUGAAUUAGGCACAGGAAGAGAUUAACAACAAUAACUGAUAAUAAAACAGAACAGUUACAACAAUAUACUGUAAUAAAAGUUGUCAGUGUGGUCUCUCCUUGUCUCCUAAAAUAUCUGAUUGUAUUGUAUUCACCUAUUCUGGGGCCAUGGUCAACCACGGGUAACUUAAACCUAGAAAAGUAAAACCUCAGGUAAGUGGGAACUACUGUACACAAAUCGGUAAUACGAGACAGAUUGCUGUAUGUCCUAAGAGAGACACAAAUUGGGCUAACAAGAACAAUAGAGGUUAGUUCUGAUGUGGUGUUGGGAGGCAGGAGUGCAUUUUGGAAGGGUCAGAGUUGAAAGGACAAUGUGGAAAUGUAUGGGGAGGAUUCUUUACCUCAUUGGUUUGGCUAAAUCCAGGGCAGCAUUGGCUUUACAUAUAGACGAGGGGUCCACGAACUCAGACGCUCAUAGGGGCCAGACAGGCCCCAUAAAUACGUGAAUCUGUCCAGGUGUGAAGCAAUUGGGAGUGCUGGAACCAGUGAUAGAAGGAGGGGCGGAAAGAUCUUCAACUUCACGUUAAAAAUUCAAGAAAUUCAUGUUGUUGUCUGCAGAUUUUCUCUGUCCUACAGAGGCUUCCCUGUGCCUCUACAUUCGGACUCAACUCCUCCACCCCAGAGAGAGACCCAAGCUUCCUCCCAAAGGCACAAUCAUAUUUGCAUGACUAAAAGAAUCUUCCAGGGCCCAUCCUCCCAAAAAUAUGAGCAAGCAGGCCUUAAAGACAAGUACACAUCUCCACUGUGGAAGAUGGGAGUCUUUAAAGGGCAGUUUCAUCAGCUUCCGCAGGGCGUUCUAUCACAUGUGGGCCAAGAGCCCAGCGCUGGAGGAGCUGGUAGAGCUGGCUGAGUCUCCUGUGAUUUUUCCAGGACUGCCAGUUGGAGGGGGAGGAGGAGAGCUUCAACCAGAGCAGCUGCUUCACGGGUUGAGCUCCUGAGCAAAGUCUUGUCUGAACAGGGAAAGGCCUCUGAGCAUCUUUAUGACACAGAUGGGGAAACUCCAUCCCCGCUCUUCAGACGGGGGCUUGGGGGGAUGUGCCGCCUGGGCUUUCCUGACCGUGUUCCACACGGAGCUUUUCCCUUUCGCGCACAGUGUAUCCAUCCCACCCCCUCUCCCAUUCUAGUAAAUACAAGGCCUUGGAGGUAGCUGCUCAAUAAGGAUAACUUAGUGAAGUCACAUCAGUCGUGAUUAAACUCACAGCUUGCUGUGGAAUUUUCCAGAAUUGAAUAAUGACAAUCCCGGACUUCAGUGUGCUCCACAAGUACCACAUACGAUUAAAGAGAAAAUAAUAAAUGUAUACAUAGUGAAGCUAAGGAACACAAAAGGGGGGAAAUCUUACAAAACAUUAAAUUAGAAUUUAAUCCCUGCCUAAAAUAUCUCCGUUCUCUCUAAUCCUUCCGACAAUAAGCAAACCUAUCAACUUAUAUUAACGGUAUAGAGGCUUUAUAUUAAAUCAGAAUAUUGUAAAUUCUUCGGGCAAACAGGAAUACUUGGAGAAUUCUCUCCCCAUUCUUUGUUUUACUACUGGGGAUUUUAGACAUUUGCAAGUAGUCUUUUUUGGUUGUUGUUCCUUCGUUUCGUUUAACUCAGUUAUUCUCCAACUCUGGCGUUCAUCGGAGUACUUUGUACGGGGCUGGACCUCCAUCACCCAACCAUGUGUACAGGGGGAGUUUUGAGUACAUGAGAUUCUCACCUGAUAACCAUUUAGAUGUUUCAGUCACUACCUCCCCUCCUGACUACACACAGAGGAGGCUGACUGUGGUGGACUCAAUGGUGUUUGCUCUCCUUAUGUUUCACACUUUCUCUUCACAUCAAACAGGUAAUCAGACUUGUUAUUCCUUGCUUAAGGCAAGAAAGGAGUAAAAAGCUGCUUCUCUAGGCUGGAGAAGAAGAGAGAGCCCUGUCGCUCCUGUGAGCUGUGGGGCCCGGGAAAUCACUAUGUAAGUGUACCCCUCAGAAGGGAGGAAGCUGUGUGUGCUUCAAGGGAGGCUAGACCCUAAGGGUGGAUUUUCUCACCUCCUAGAGAUCCCUGGCAUCCCACACGUGGCCUAAAAUAGCAGAGAUGAGACCUACGUGGGCCAUGCAGACUGGGACGAUUGCUAUUUCAGCACUAACCAGUGUAGACUGAUGACAAAAUACUGGAGUAGUUUUCCCUCGACAUUGCAUAAGACCCUGUACUCUGUAAGACCCAGACUUUGGCAGAAUUCAUGUGCGUGGGGGUGUGAUAGCAGCCCAAGCAUGGCUGGAUUAACUUUCCUGCCAACUUGGUGGGCUGGUUACUCAGAAUCCAAAUUUAAUUUGAUGUAAGGAAAUCUAAAAAUUUUAUCUGUUUCUUGAACACAUGAAUUUAUAGACUGAGAUUUACACCUAUUUCGAAUGUUGAAUGCCUUGCCGAUGGGAAGCAUUUGCUGACAGCUACAAAGGAUCUCACUCUGCCAGCUUGGGAUGGAUACGCCCCGUGAAAGUGCGCUUCUGAAAGAUUAUAAGUGCCUGUGAGUGACAGCUGGCUGAUUCAGAGCACAGUGAGAGACCUGGCUUGGUUAGAGAAGGUUUAUACAAGAAAAGAGCAAGGAGUGUUUGGAAAGAGAGAAAGAUUGCAUCAUAAUCUUCCAGCAGUGGAGGGCAGAUGAAAGAGAACAGACUUUGAAGUCCUCGGAAUCAAGUCAGCUUCGCUGCUUAUUACUGAGCAUGUUCUUUAACCCCUCUGGAUCUCAUUUUAAAAGUAUGGACCUUAAGAAAGUGGACUGAGAGAUGGGCUCCCACGAGCUAACAUGUAUAAAAUGCCAGUCCUUUCUCUUCCCACCUGUGUAUAUCUCAUAUCCUUAAAUAUUCUCAUUUGUUAAAUGUUAAACAUCUAAAUCAACUCCUCACAAGAAUUGAACAUUUACCUGGGACCUACACCUUUGGGCGAAGGAAUCACAGAAAUAGGAAUACGGUAAUGCUGCAAACACCUUCAUAAAGGCGGUUUUGAUAUUUCAGCCUGGAUCGUACUGAUUGCUUCCUCUGGAUUGUUUCCAUCGCUUCCCUCUUACGUGUGUUUGGUUUGUCAUCUUCACUCUUUCCCCUAGAUUUCUCCAUUCUGAUUGGACACUUCUAAUACCACAAUCUGGCUUUCACAAUAAAGUUCCAACUGCAGGUGCUCAAAA